rnacentral:lncRNA from 1 species
GGGACUUCCUCUAUGGGGCUGAAGGGCUUUCUUUCAGUCUCUCCUCAAGCCCUGUCAACAUCACAGCAACAUACUCCCUUAAAUUCCUGAAAAGGUGCCACACUUGAGAGGCAGUGUGGCCAUGCCACAUCACCACCUCUACUUGACCCUGACUCUCCAAACUGGAUCUACUUUUAUGAGGCACAGGCUAAAUUGGUGAAAAAGCAAGCAACUGUACAAUCUUCACUCAGUUAACACUUGCUGAGGCUGAGAUAAAGAAGGUUUGUAUUUCCUAUGCAGCAUGAUUAGGAAAAAGGAGGAGUGGUUCAGCUUUCAUUUUUUCUUAGCUUUACUGCUCAUAGUUGUGACCUCUGAAACCUCCUUCUUUUUUCAUGUAAGUUCCCCUUCCCGACUAUUACAAGUAACUCAGCU